GGCAGUGGUAGCUCAGGGGUUCAGACGUUGAACUACUGAUUGAAAGGUCAUGAGUUCAAUCCCCAGCAAGGCCC